GGAAAGGGCGAAGAUGGGUUCGGCCGGAUUUUCUCUGCGCCUUCCAGGCCGGCAGGGUUCUGCCGAGCAGCCAACCAGGGCAGAGAUGGAGCCCAACUUGGACCCGCUCUCCCGCAGUUCGCAGGUUGGAGCAUGUAUCAACCCAUAGCCACAGGAUGGCAGUGUUUCCUUAUUGAUGAGGAAGCAUUUGGCUAGAAAAAAAGAAGAAAAACAGUUCAAAAGUUGUGAAACUGAAGAACGCAGACAGACUUUCAGCGGCAGACCACGGUGGCUACUUCCGACUCAAAACAGAGCUAGCAAAUUCAAGGUCGGUGAACCACAUCAAUCCGGGGAGGCAGGGGCGCAUGAAGCCCAGGCUCAUCCCAAGUUCACUGUGUAGCCAAGGAUGACUUUGAACGUCUGCUACGUGCUGGGACCGCAGGGUGGAGGUUGUUCACGAAGCCCAGGCAAAUGUGACCAGCAGAACGGCAGCGACAACCCUAGAACCCAUCAGAGUCAGGAAGCCGGACUGUGUGUGGCAAACAGCAGUACAGCCCCGAUCCUGGGCUGGCCUCAUAGCAGAUGGAACAGUGUGAGCCAGACUUCCGGGACCCUUCUGGAGUGAAGACGUGUGGAGACAGUGCAGCGGCACCCAGGGUGGGGAAAUGGAAUGGCUGUGGAGAAUGACCGCGGGAUACAGAAACCUGAAUCAGAUCACGCUUUCCCAGCAUUGCUCUUUUGAGGAAACAGCUGCUGCAAAGUGAUGGAAUAUUUUCAUGCUGUCUUGGACCUUACUGACAUUAUUUUCUAACAUCACUUUAGCUGAGAAAUCCCAAGAUCAACCGGCACUUGCUUGAAGUGGUUGUUGUUGGUGGGACCUCUGAGAUCCUGCCCACCCUUUGCGAAAAGGUUUCAUUAUCGGAUGCUAAUCUCCAAGUGUUUUACAGGUUUAGACAAGCAUGGAAAGAGAUGCAGGCACCUAACGGAGACAGGAUGGGAAACAGUCCACACAGGGGCAAGGGCCAGGUCCAGGGGUGGUAUUUAGGGGGUUUUAUGGUUGCCUAAGGUGUAAGUGACACCCAACAAGAUGAUUGACAAGAAUCCUACAACAGCUAGUGCCUGUAAGUUAAAAUAAUGGUUAAAGACUUUGAAUUAAGCUACCUUGUCUGGGUGGGAAAAGGCAUUCCCAGAAACCGUAAGGGUUUUUUGUUUUGUUUUGUUUUUUUGUUUUUUUGAGACAGGAUUUCUCUGUGUAUCCCUGGCUAUCCUGGAACUUACUCUGUAGACCAGGCUGCCCUCAAACUUGGUGAUCUGCCUGCCUCUGCCUCCUGAGUGCUGGGAUUAAAGGUGUUCACUGCCACCACCCAGGGCCAUAAGGUUAUUGAAUGAAAAUCUCAGUGCCAAAAAUGGGCCUCCAUCUUAUGAGAUGCUGGUCAGAGAUGCCCCUACACAAGACUGGCUAUUGCCACUGUCUUUGGGUGCAUGCCAGCACUAGACUUCAAGACCCUGUUGUUGAAGACACCACACACUUUUAGUUGCAAGAAAUGGGGAAAUCAGAUUGGAAUUGAACUCAGCCUUCUUUGCUCACUGCUUUUAUGGGGCCAGAAAGUAUUCUGCAGACUUCUGGGGGAGGAUUGUCAUCUACAAUCUUGUUUGGUUAUGGACCCUGCAUGCUACACUAUGACAUGCCAGGCAAGAUGUGCCCAUGGGUCCAGUAGUGGCACAACUGUCAUGAGUGCAACCAACGGCGUUCUAGUUGAACUUUACAGGAAAGGCCCCUUUACAGGAAAGGACAUGCGUUUGGUAUUGUAAGACACAAAUCUUUAGUAGAGAAGUUAUUGCUGUUCUUGCCCGAAAUGGAUAUGAUAUGCCUGUCAAAUUGCCUUGUAAACAUUAUGUUUAGAUCCCUAGGUUACUGUUCCUGUGGGUCUUGGCUCUAGAUGCUUCUUUAUAGAGUGGGUGGAGGUUACUAUUGAAAGUGUGAACGACGAUUACUGUGGUAGAAGUAGAAACAAUGCUCAGCCCUAAGUGGGGAGAAAUCAUCAUAUGUCCAUAUCAUCCCCUCCAAGGCUCAGGAAACAUGGCAGAAGAGAGAGAGAGAGAGAGAGAGAGAGAGAGAGAGAGAGAGAGAGAGAGAGAGAGCGCGCAAAGAAUAGAAGAGCUGGAGAAAAGAGUGGACUGUUGUGGAACUGUGUGCUCUGGACAUGACAGGGCUGUUUCUAUCUUGGAAUCAUGUGGCUGUCUGCAUGAGAUACUCACAUGACCGGCCUACUAAUAUCCCCCAUGUGGAAGUGGGCAGAGCUCCCAAAGCUCACAAGGUGGCAUGAGUGGUGUUUGAGGGACUCAUGAGAUGUCUCAGGCUCCCAUCCUUCCUUGGGGAUACACAAGUGGCUAAUAAUUGCUGAGAAGGGAGGCAUGUCUUCCGUGGUGUGAAUAUCCUGUAAAUAACUCCAAUUAAAUCCAUCAUUUCACCAA